ACAAAUUAGCUUCUUUUUUUUCAGUUGAUCUUAGGUGAAUCUUCAUACUGUGUCAAAAGUGACUAAAUAUUUGUUCAAAAUCAAAUUAUGUUUAA